rnacentral:lncRNA from 1 species
CCAGUGAGCUCUUGUGCCUUAGAACCAGUGUGGUUGGACACAAGAAGCUCUGGAUCACGGCCUAACAGGUGCAGCAACUCUUCACAGCUUUGCGCACACUUCACACUUCACACUUCAGCUUCACCUCUUCAUGGAACCGGUUUGAAGUCUCCCCCUCUCAACUGACUUCACAGCCAUCUUAGAGAAGCUAGGACACGACCAGAUCAUCUUCAAAACACUAGUGAGGCUGAUCAACACUUCACACACGGCUUGCCCUCUUCCUAGAACUGGUUUGGAUCUCCCCCUCUCAACAGACUUCUCAGCCAUCUUAGAGAAGCUCGGAACUGACCAGGAACAUCUUUAGUGAGGCUCAAGCAAUGGUACCUGA